rnacentral:lncRNA from 1 species
GGGCGACACCCACACUUUUCAAACCCUAGUUCACAAGAAAAACUGUAAAUUGAAGGCCUAAAUCAAGCAAUAAUCGAAAUCUGAACAUGGAAUCGUGAUCACCUCGUCAAGGGGGUCAUAAGGCAAGGAAUCCGGAACGUCAAGUGGACACGCCGGAAGUGAUACCCGCGGAAAAGGUGUGCUUUAAAGUGUAAUGGAUACGUUUGAUGCGUCGUGACUAUGGUGGGCUUCCGGAUGGCGGUCAAGCAAUGUAGAAGAACCGAACACGUAUUUUGAAGCUUCCGCGUUAACUUAACUUUGUU